UACGUAGGGUGCGAGCGUUAAUCGGAAUUACUGGGCGUAAAGCGUGCGCAGGCGGUUUUGUAAGCCAGAUGUGAAAUCCCCGGGCUUAACCUGGGAAUGGCAUUUGGGACUGCAAGGCUAGAGUGUGGCAGAGGAGACUGGAAUUCCUGGUGUAGCAGUGAAGUGCGUAGAUAUCAGGAGGAAUACCGAUGGCGAAGGCAGGUCUCUGGGCUAACACUGACGCUCAUGCACGAAAGCGUGGGGAGCAAACAGG
rnacentral:rRNA from 1 species